UCAUUUCUUUCCAUCCCCUCUUUCCAUUUCUGUCUCUCCUUUUUCAUUUCUGUCCAUCCCUGCUUUCAUUUCAUUCCACCCCUUUCUACCAUUUCAUACAUCACCACUUAAGCAGCUUCCUUUCCAUCAUUCACUCAUUUUUCUCUCAUUUGUUCUGUCUUCCCUUCUUUUUUAUUCUUGAUAUUCUUUCACUUCAUCCUUGCUUUUAUUUCUCUAUGUCUUUUCUUUCUACCUUUCUUUAUUCCUCUUUUUUCUUUCUUUCUUUCUUGUCUAUUUGAUUAUUGUUCUUUUGCUUCAUCCUUCCUUUCAUUUUCUUUGUCAUUUCUCCCUUCCUUCAUUGACUUUCUUUCUUUCCUCCCUUGUUUCUUUUCUCACAACAUCACUUCAGACAGUCACUGUGUCCCUCUCUAUGUGGAAUAAACUGCUGUACGGGGUUAGCGCUGCUAGCAUGUGUAGGACUCUGCUGGAGCCGAGUAUUCCUGUGAGAGUUAGCAUACUUCAGAGGCUUUGAGAUAACGCUGCAGUCUGGAGUAUCGACGGCUCAAGCACUUGAAGAAAGAGAAGAACGAGAGCCGAUUCAGGGAGCAGGAAGGGCAGGUGUGCGAGUUCCUGCUGGAGAGAUGGGACGCGACACUGCCAUGCCAUCUAGUGGAGAUCCCUUUAUGGCCGGCUUUCACUUCUGACACAAAGGAGCGUUUUGUUGCAGAAGUGAGGUGGUGAUGCCAUUUUCUUUGUCGCACAAAGAAGGCACCGUUGAAAAAAGCCUUCAAUUCCCCAUGGGGGAGCGAGGGCCUUUCUGACGAGGAGGGAGAGUGGGGAUUGCGGAAAUUGAAUUCAUUGCUCGAACUUUGAAAGAGGAAAACAGAGGCUGGUGAGGGAACGACUGUUUCCACAUAAGUGAUAACUUGUUUCAUGGAUGUUCUACAGCAUCAAACUUAACUAGAAAUGGAUAAAAGGCCGCUUGCUGCUCCAGAGUGUGAAAUCGGCAUUGUUGCGGCGCGAGGCGAUCUAUCAGCCUCACGCAGUGUGACCGAGUGAUGACAUCACACUCCGAUAAAAGGCCCUUUUAUUGGCUCCAAGGUCAUCAGUGGGAAGACAGAGGCAUAAUAAUUGGCCUUCGUCGAACUGUGCGUGCUCGAAGCUCACACGCCGAGAGCGCCGCUAAUCUGGGUUUAUACUCGACGAGAUCUGUCCUGCAAAUAAAGAUAAAGAAAAAAAAAACUUGAUAGAACAGUGUGUUCCUUUCUCACCUGCUCACACACAGUUGGCUGCUGAUGGGAUUCCCAUUGAGAGAAAAAUCCUCUGGAUGGUUUUUUAACUGCAGUGUGAUUAGAUUCUCUUAGGUCCUAGUGAGAACUGAAUUUAAUCACUUUUAGAAUAAGUAGUAUGCAAUUUCUUUCUCAUGGAUGUGACUUUUUUUUUUUUUUUUGGUUUUUAGGAAUGUUCGUCUGUUAGUAAAGACUCUUACCACCCAGAUUUAUACAGACAACUGAAAACCUUAAGACUGCUUGAUUACAGGCUAUACAUGGAUUACUGAUCCUGGAUUUAUCCGUUCUUCAAAGCUGGUAUCGGAUUUGUUACCAUGACUACAGGAGCAGGUUUAUUCAACAUGAACAAGAUUAGAUCCAUUUAUUUACUGUGUUGAUUAUUUUCCUAUAACGCCAUGCCCC